UCUGCAACCUCUGAAUACACUUAUUCAGCAUCACAAGCAUCAUGGGCAUGAAGUUCCACAAGCCCUGUCUUCGUCUGGUGAUGACUGCAUCCUUUCCAGCCUUGCUUGUCACCUACCAAAGGUCGACAAUGAUGAAGGAGACAAAGGUGUCAAAUCUGGUCCCACGUGUAUCACUGAAGACAGAGAUAACUCACUUAGAAGUGAGUCUAAAAAGGAUACAGAAGAAAAUGUUGAGGAAAUAAAUUCAGAUGUGGCAAGGAAGGCGGGAAGAAAUGGAGCGCGGGAUGUGGAUGAUCUGUCUGAAGACCAGGGAGCCUCUGUUGAGGUAUUGCUUUUGAUGUGAACACAUCCAUUUCAUCACCAAAGCCUCAAGAAUCCAGACUGAAAAUCUCUUAAUCUUCGUGUACAAAAACUCCAGUAUUACAUGUCAGCUUUUUUUUUGUUUUUGCUUUAAUGUCUAACAGUUGUUCAGUUUUCUGCCCAUGGGAGUCUUCAUAGCUAGUCCUAUACACAGGACCUUCAAAUUAAAAGUAUAAUUUUUAUAAAUUUACUGACUUGUUUUGCAGAAAAAUGUGUAUCUAAUGCAAUCUGAUUGUAUCCUCUAGGAAUGCACAUGUAGAGAUUUGGCAACUAGAUGUUUCUGGAGAGUCGUAUUGUACUUACUGCGCCUUUUGUUAACAUUUUAGUUUGAACUCUUCUAAGAAUGUUUCCUUUUAUUGUAAUUUUUAAUUUAAAACCUGACAAUCUCAACCUUUUGCCCUUGCAGUUAUUAUGUUAUGUGAUUACAGAAUUCUACACUGGAUCUAUAAAGCUGACUGGAGAAAGGAGCAAAAUAGCUUAAUUUCACAGAAUUAUUCAGCUUCUUCAGAUCCUUUCCAUUUAUCCUGCAGGCUUUUAGUUUAUCUUUACAUAGACUUCAUCACUAUCUGAAAAGUGAAGGCAUAAUUUAUCAUAAUGUCCUGUGCAGUAACUUUGUUUCAUUUGAAGAAUUCACACCAAAAUAAAGUUUGUGCUAUGACAUAAAAAGUCAUAUCCACUCUUUAUUAAUUUAUAGUUACAUUGAAAGAGAGACAUGGUAUGACAACAUAACUUUUACUGAACUGACACUGAAAUCUUGUAGUUUAAAAAUGCCGAAUGGUAAUGGUUUUAGUACCUGAGGAUUCCUCGCAACCCGAGAAUUAACAAACAUUAACUGGUUUAGCUAAACGAAUAAAGUAUGUCUCAAUUGUUAAUGUCAAAGUUCUGAUGAGGAUUUUAAGUGUACAAAAAAAAGUUCUGGCAUUUACAUUACAAAUAGGACACAGGUUUGAAAGACUGAGUGGUGCAAUGCAGCUUUGAUUGAAUUGAAUUGAAUCCCAGGUUUGCAGAAGUGUUGAAGGGAUUCAGACUCUGUGAAGUCUCUUACUCAGCAGAAACAUCCUAAAGCACUGGUGCACUAUAGGAGCUGCAUUGGUGAUGCCAGCAACAACUGCCAUUCUAUAGACAUUAAUCAUAUCCACUUAAUGGAUGCCCUCGACUGCCUGGCAUUAUCUGCUGAGAAUAUACAUUUUAUUGUCAUUGGCAAUAUGAGGGAUAUCCGCACCCAGGCCAUUGGUGACAGACUGGAUACUGUGUGCGGUCUCAUUCGUUUUGUUCCCUUGUACCCAACAGAAUUCAUUGCAUGUUGCUUUAAUUUCAGAAAAAGUGGAAUUAGAGAGUAACAGUGACUCAAGCAGAAAUCUCUCUUCCAGUAUAAGUGGUCCUUGGCAGUGCUUCUUUUCAGAUUGCAGUGGUAUCUUUACCCCUUUUUGCCCAAUGUGCUUCCACGCUUACUAUAAUUAUGACCCAUAAGCACAUCAUCAUGCCGUUUUCUUCAGCUUGGGAGGCUUUUGAAAAAGGCGUGAUUUCUCAGCUGGCAUGUAGAAAGCACAUCACAGCCAGGAGCCUUUCCCACACUUCUUCUAAGUGUGGCAGAGAGAGAGAGAGAGAGAUGAAAAGAAAGCAAAGAGAGUGAGAGCAAGCAAGAGAUUCUGGGAAGAUGCAGUUUCUUGCAAGCUCUCAUUAAAGACAUCUGUGUGUCUUUGUCUUUAAACCGUUUUGCUAGAGAGGUUGGUGGGUGUUCUGGCCAGGUGACACUGAUGGCGGACGUUCUAUGCAGCAGAAGUAUUCAGUAAGAGUCCUGGAUAUAGCGGUGCUAUUUUUGCUCUGAUUUCAACUCUCAUGUUUUAUUCAAGCCUGGGAUGCAUCAGCACAAGCAGGCCUACAUGCAGCCUUGUAGAGGGGAUGAGUACUUGUUUGUGUUCUGAGAUGCAGGGCUGUUAGUCUAUCACAUGAUGAGCUGAAAUGUCAGUCAUGGUGUUGUGCUUGUAUGUGUUUGAGGGAAGGAAGUGGUGGCUAUAAAAGAGAUAUCCACUGGGAGGAACAGAGAACUGAUACUGUUCUCCUGCCACUAAUUUUCACCACUUUGCACUUUUGCUAACAGCUCUAGUGCGGCUACAAACAACUAAAAACAUUACAAAUUAAUCAGCCUCUGCACUGGCUCCAGACCAGCUUGUUACUCUGAAAUUACCUUUCCCUUUUAAACAAGGACUGGCAUCUUGAAUUAGUUAUUCCAAAUUAUGCUUGUUCUUGACCUUGUAUUCACCUUUAACUGCUGUUUGAAUUCCAACCAGUCAUUUCUAAAUGAUUUACACAUUAGUGAAAUAUAAAUGCGUAAGUACAUGUACUUUGCUUUUGUUUAAGCUGCAUUACGUGUUUCUGUAACAUACUAUAAAUCCUCAGUUCAAACCAGCUGCCAUGUAAAAGCUCUGCAGCAGAAAUGUGUCCCAUUCCACCAAGCAUCUGGUGUGUACAGAUUGCACUCUUGUGCUUACUGUACACAGGACUUGCUACACAAAGCAGCAAAGAAAGAGAAGCAGGGAGUGUUGGGCGGUUGAAUGAGUUGAGUUUUGCUUUUUUUUUUUUUAGCUUAAUGUGGCUGCAACGCUGAACCUGAUUGAACAUUAAAUUGUUCGUUGUAUAUACCUGUAUCUAUUGAAGCUUGUAUGUGCGCUUGCUUUUAAUUUUGUAGACAGCUGAAUUUUUAUGGAAACACACUUUUGCUGGAAAAAAAAGCCAGAGAAAAUCUUGUGU